CCCCGCCUGCCAGCUUCCCAAAGGGCCCGAGCGCUGCCUCCGCCGCGUGUCCCGGGGUUGGCCCGAGCCCGUGCGGGCCCUUUAAGGGCCGGGGGCGUGUGACGGGCCCGCCCCCUCCCCGCAGCGCCCGCCGUCCGUUAAGUGCGAGCCCGGGCGCAGGGGCCGGAUCUGGCCGGGGGCCGGCGGUGGUGUGGAAGCGGCGCGCCAUGUACACCAUCACCAAGGGGCCCAGCAAGCUGGUCGCGCAGCGCCGCACAGGUCCCACGCAGCAGCAGGUGGAGGGCCGGCUCGGCGAGCUCCUGAAAUGCCGGCAGCCCGCGCCGCCGACCUCGCAGCCCCCGCGGGCGCAGCCCUUCGCGCAGCCGCCGGGACCUUGGCCCCUGUCGAGUGCCCCUCUCAGCUGAGGAGGAACCGAGAGCAGCGCUGGGGCACCUGAGCCCAGGAAGGCAAGCAGGCCGGCCGGGACCGCGAGUGCCUGGCGGAGCAGGCGCAGCCCAGGACUCCCGGCUCCCACCUCCGGCUGUAGUCCAGGGCCAAGGCUUGUGUUCAAUCGUGUGAACGGCCGGCGGGCCCCCUCCACGUCCCCAUCCCUCGAGGGGACCCAGGAGACCUACACACUGGCCCACGAGGAGAAUGUCCGCUUUGUGUCCGAAGCCUGGCAGCAGGUGCAGCAGCAGCUGGAUGGUGGCCCAGCCGGUGAGGGCGGGCCAAGGCCUGUGCAGUACGUGGAGAGGACCCCCAAUCCCCGGCUGCAGAGUGAGCCCCCCAACCCCAUCUCCCCAGGAGAAACCCCCCAGCCCCUCUGAUCCUGACCCAGGCCCUGCCAGGUUCCCACCCCAGGGGAUGAGGGAGGGGACUCCUGUGCAGAAACCUCUUCUUCCCAGCGCCUGCCGCACUCGGAGUCCGGGUGAGUGGCUUGUCUUAGCUCCAGGGGAGAGAUGCUGGCCAGCCUGGGAGGCAGCAUCACUGCCCAGCCUUCUCUGCCCACAGACUUCGUGCCCAUUGACCUGGACGAGUGGUGGGCACAACAGUUCCUGGCGAGAAUCACCAGCUGUUCCUAGUGGCUGCUGGGAGAGGGCGCUGCUACACAGCGGACCUGUGGCCAGGAGAGAAGUGUGGUGCCCCACCCACCCACUGCGCCUGGCUGGGUGCCGGCCACACCUGAAGUGCCAGCAUUUGGACUU